rnacentral:tRNA from 1 species
CAGGGAAUAGUUUAUAUUAAAAUAUUAAUUUUGGAGAUUAAUGUAAGGAUUAUUUGAUCUUUUCUCUGA